rnacentral:tRNA from 1 species
ACGGGUGUCGCCCAGUCGGUAGGGCAGUUAUCGUUUUCCAAACCUUUGCUUGGUUUCCGAGCCGUCGGUGAAUGGUUAUCGGGUCAUUGGUUCGAGUCCAAUCAUCGGUC